GGGGAAUUUUGGACAAUGGGCGAAAGCCUGAUCCAGCAAUGCCGCGUGCAGGAUGAAGGCCUUCGGGUUGUAAACUGCUUUUGUACGGAACGAAAAGCUUCGGGUUAAUACCCUGGAGUCAUGACGGUACCGUAAGAAUAAGCACCGGCUAACUACGUGCCAGCAGCCGCGGUAAUACGUAGGGUGCAAGCGUUAAUCGGAAUUACUGGGCGUAAAGCGUGCGCAGGCGGUCUUGUAAGACAGAGGUGAAAUCCCCGGGCUCAACCUGGGAACUGCCUUUGUGACUGCAAGGCUGGAGUGCGGCAGAGGGGGAUGGAAUUCCGCGUGUAGCAGUGAAAUCCGUAGAUAUCUGGAGGAACAUCAGUGGCGAAGGCGGCCACCUGGACCGGUAUUGACGCUGAGGUGCGAAAGCGUGGGGAGCAAACA
rnacentral:rRNA from 1 species